rnacentral:rRNA from 1 species
AACGAACGCUGGCGGCAUGCCUAACACAUGCAAGUCGAACGGGAUCCUAGCUUGCUAGGUGAGAGUGGCGGACGGGUGAGUAACACGUGGGAAUCUGCCUUUUGGUUCGGGAUAACCGCGGGAAACUGCGGCUAAUACCGAAUGCCCUCGAGAGAGGAAAGAUUUAUCGCCAGAAGAGGAGCCCGCGUCCGAUUAGGUAGUUGGUGGGGUAAAGGCCUACCAAGCCGACGAUCGGUAGCUGGUCUGAGAGGAUGAUCAGCCACACUGGGACUGAGAUACGGCCCAGACUCCUACGGGAGGCAGCAGUGGGGAAUAUUGGACAAUGGGGG